rnacentral:rRNA from 1 species
GACGAACCGAGCGAACGUUAUUCGGAAUCACUGGGCUUAAAGGGCGCGUAGGCGGGCGGCCAAGUCAGGGGUGAAAGCCCCCAGCUCAACUGGGGAAGUGCCUCUGAUACUGGUCAUCUCGAGGGAGAUAGGGGCGUGCGGAACUUCCGGUGGAGCGGUGAAAUGCGUAGAUAUCGGAAGGAACACCGGUGGCGAAAGCGGCGCGCUGGAUCUCUUCUGACGCUGAGGCGCGAAAGCCAGGGGAGCGAACAGG